rnacentral:rRNA from 1 species
ACGCCAUUAGGUGUAGUCGGAGGAGAGCGGUCUAAGGGCGUUGAGGGUCGAUCGUGAGGACGGCUGGAGCGCGUAGAAGUGAGAAUGCCGGUAUGAGUAGCGAAAGAAAGGUGAGAAUCCUGUCCACCGUAUGACUAAGGUUUCCUGGGGAAGGCUCGUCCGCCGAGGGUUAGUCGGGACCUAAGCCGAGGCCGAUAGGCGUAGGCGAUGGACAACAGGUUGAUAUUCCUGUACCAGUUGUUUUUGUUUGAGCAAUGGAGGGACGCAGUAGGCUAAGGAAUGCAUGCGAUUGGAAGUGCAUGUCCAAGCAAUGAGUCUUGAGUAGAGUUAAAUGCUUUACUCUCUAAGGACAAGUUGUGACGGGGAGCGAAAUAAUAGUAGCGAAGUUCCUGAUGUCACACUGCCAAGAAAAGCUUCUAGGGAGAAA